UCUCUCGGUCAUUCUUUCCCAGCCCUGCCCUCGCAGUGGCAGGGACAGGAGCGCCGUGCUGGCGCGGGGAGAUGACAGGUGGGGGGCCGGUUCGUCCCGGCCAUCCAGCGACUUCAGGACAGCGUUGGGGAAGGGCGCCUGAAGCUCGAUCUGGGACGUGCUAGAGCUUUUCUGGUGCCGGAAGGCAGCUGAGACUUGCCAGUUCCCGUAAGCCAGGCGAAGCGUCUGUGUCCCCUUCUUUUGGAUCUGAUCCUCUAGUCUUCUGACACUUCGGCGCUCUUCCACUGCUGACUGUCAUUGAUGGGGAAGUGGGGUCGAAAGCUCCAAUGCUUCAGCGGAUAUGCAGUCUCUGACUGGGAAGCUUCAGUUCCAGCAGACAGUUGCCAACGGAGCCCGGGCUGGCCUCAAGGCUCCAGCUAACUGUAACAGAUGACCUUGAACUCCUGAUCCACCUACCUCCACUUCCCAAGUACCGGGCUCCUCCUGUUAAUGCUCUUCCCACACUGUCUUUUUACCCUCUUAAAAGAAGGAAUAAAUUCAAACUGUUACAGCCAUAUGGAAGGCAGUACAGAGGAUUCCAAAGAUACUAAAAGGCACUGCUCGACCCAGCAAUAUUUCUUCUGACAUACACCGAAAGAAAAUUAAUAAUAAUAACACCUUCAUAAAGCUA